UACGAAGGGUGCAAGCGUUGCUCGGAAUUAUUGGGCGUAAAGGGUAGGUAGGUGGUAAUAAAAGUCUGGGGGUGAAAUCCCUGAGCUCAACUCAGGACGUGCCUUGGAAACUUUAUUACUAGAGUGCUGGAGAGGUCUGCAGAAUUCCCGGUGUGGCGGUGAAAUGCGUAGAGAUCGGGAGGAAUACCAGAGGCGAAGGCGGCAGACUGGACAGUCACUGACACUCAACUACGAAAGCGUGGGUAGCAAACAGG
rnacentral:rRNA from 1 species